GAACAUAAGAGUUUGAUCCUGGCUCAGAUUGAACGCUGGCGGCAUGCUUUACACAUGCAAGUCGAACGGCAGCACGGAAGAGC
rnacentral:rRNA from 1 species